AGCAGAGAGAGGGAGAUCAGGUUCGGAGAGCGCGUGAGGUAACAGUCAGCACCAUCACACCCCUCAUGUUCUAGAUGAAAACAAGUGAAGGCAUCUGCUUCUCAACCUGCCCAGGAUUACAGAGAUGCUGUCAGGCCUGCUGAGUCGCUCCAGCACUUUCUGGUUUCGUUCCAAAAAGACAAUUGCCUUCAGAACAGCAAUUAAAGUAUAAUUGAGGUCUCCCAGAACCAAAACAAUUUUAUGAAGAUUCUGAAUUAAAAUGGGAGGAGUUUAUUGAAACUGAAUCCCAUUGGAAGAUAGCAAGAGACAGUUAAUAACAUUGAUAAUAAAUAAACAAUAAAAUGUUGAACAGAGAUCUUGAUUGUUCAUCUUGUAUGAUGUAACCAUGAUUUCUUUUGUCCAAUAAGUACAAUGGUUUUAAGAGUGCAACUCUGAAAACAUUUGAGAGAAGACUGAGAUACCAGAGUAUGGAUGUGAACUAUGGUGAGCAAUGUAUCUGAACGUCUGUGUAAAUAAUCUGUUCAAAACUUACAACGCGGGGGCUGUGAAAAAGCCCAGAGGUAAUGUGGAAAAACACAGCUGCAAUCUUCAUGAUGUUUAAAUCAUUUCAAAAUAACCUCCUCUCUUAUUUCCUGCAAUAAAGAACCUGUUACUCCCUAAAUGGUUAUUAAAAUGUUAAUAGUGUGUGGUUAAUACAUUACAGUUGGAAAAAGUUGUGUCAUUUUAUUCCUACCCAGAGACUGAAACAUGAACUCCAACUCUGAACCUUUAAACUAACUAAAACAGAACAACUUUCACAUCUGAGUAAACAGAAUAAAUUCGACUUUCUGAAACAAAAACAGAAAAUGCUGGAAACACUCCGCAGGUCAGGCAGCAUCUGUUAAAAUUAAAAUGCCGAUGUAUGGUCCUGUAUCGA